rnacentral:rRNA from 1 species
GACGAACGCUGGCGGCGUGCUUAACACAUGCAAGUCGAACGAUGACUUCUGUGCUUGCACAGGAUGAUUAGUGGCGAACGGGUGAGUAACACGUGAGUAACCUGCCCCUGACUUCGGGAUAAGCCUGGGAAACCGGGUCUAAUACCGGAUACGACCACCGGCCGCAUGGCCUGGUGGUGGAAAGAUUUAUUUCGGUCAGGGAUGGACUCGCGGCCUAUCAGCUGGUUGGCGGGGAAUGGCCCACCAAGGCGACGACGGGUAGCCGGCCUGAGAGGGUGACCGGCCACACUGGGACUGAGACACGGCCCAGACUCCUACGGGAGGCAGCAGUGGGGAAUAUUGCACAAUGGGCGCAAGCCUGAUGCAGCGACGCCGCGUGA